rnacentral:sRNA from 1 species
UGCCUGACUUCAUUGUGGUCGAUUUUGC